rnacentral:rRNA from 1 species
CCCUUAGACGUUCUGGGCCGCACGCGCGCUACACUGACAAAGGCAACGAACUACUCUUCACCGAAAGGUGUGGGUAAUCUUUUGAAACUUUGUCGUGCUGGGGAUAGAUCCUUGCAAUUUUUGAUCUUAAACGAGGAAUUCCUAGUAAGCGCAAGUCAUCAACUUGCGUUGAUUACGUCCCUGCCCUUUGUACACACCGCCCGUCGCUACUACCGAUUGAAUGGUUUAGUGAGGCCUUCGGAUCCGCGACUCGUUUGUGGAGAAGUUGGACAAACUCAGUCAUUUAGAGGAAGUAAAAGUCGUAACA